UGCUGAUGUCUGUAUGCCUCAUUGCACC
rnacentral:piRNA from 1 species